GCCGAUGUGGCGGAAUGGCAGACGCAGAUGACUCAAAAUCAUCCGGGAAACCAUGGGGGUUCGAGUCCCUUCAUCGGCACCA
rnacentral:tRNA from 1 species